AGAGUUUGAUCCUGGCUCAGGACGAACGCUGGCGGCGUGCUUAACACAUGCAAGUCGAACGGUGAUGGUGGGAGCUUGCUCCUACCGGAUCAGUGGCGAACGGGUGAGUAACACGUGAGUAACCUGCCCCAGACUCUGGAAUAACCCCGGGAAACCGGAGCUAAUACCGGAUACGAGACGAAGCUGCAUGGCUAUCGUCUGGAAAGUUUUUCGGUCUGGGAUGGACUCGCGGCCUAUCAGCUUGUUGGUGAGGUAAUGGCUCACCAAGGCGACGACGGGUAGCCGGCCUGAGAGGGCGACCGGCCACACUGGGACUGAGACACGGCCCAGACUCCUACGGGAGGCAGCAGUGGGGAAUAUUGCACAAUGGGCGAAAGCCUGAUGCAGCGACGCCGCGUGAGGGAUGACGGCCUUCGGGUUGUAAACCUCUUUCAGGAGGGACGAAGCUACUCGGGUGAAUAGCCCAGAGGGUGACGGUACCUCCAGAAGAAGCCCCGGCUAACUACGUGCCAGCAGCCGCGGUAAUUC
rnacentral:rRNA from 1 species